GUAUGUUUGUUACUUGCUUGGUUUUCAUUGCCGUAUGACCUAUUUUGGCCCCCGAGAUGCAUAAAAAUUCAUACUUUAAUUUCAUAAUGCUUUAAAAUUGUCUAUUGUUCCUUCCAACAUCUGUUCCCAUUAUACAGAUUCAAGCCCAAGAGAAGUGAGGCAUGGGAUGCUUUAAUUCAAAGACCUCCUCAGCUGUAAGGUGAACAAAUGAGGGUACAGAAGAGAGAGUUGUUAGAAUCUACAUUGGUACUUUCAAAAAUGUUUCCUUUCUUCCUUCCUAGAUGCUUUCUGCAUUAGCACUGUGCUCCAUUUCUUCAGUCCUAUGCCCUUCCCAAAAUUGGCACUGCAAGACAUGAUACCUUAAAGGCAUCUCCAAAUGAGCAGGUCAGCCUUCUCAUCGAGCCCAGAGGAGAGCUGGACUCUCAGCCCAGGAUGUUCACAAAGCAAAGCAUGAGCAACAUCGCAGGGCCUGCUGUCCUGGUGGGACUGAGAUGGAGAGCCUUACAAGAAGGAUGAAAAGCAACUCAUCAAUUUCCGCAUAAAGGCACAACUGUGCCCAGGCUAGUCAGUUCACAGACCUGCUAGAAGCCCGUGAUGCUGCCUGUAAGCUUCAACACAGAGUUUUCUACUGAUUGCAGCUGCAGGCCUUCUGAAGAAGGGGAUGAAAACAGCCACGCAUAUCGGAGAUGCCAUUUCCUGUUAACUUUGAUGGUCUUGACAUACAAGAAAAUGUGCCGGAUCAGUCACACACUCAGAAGAAAGCUGUGGGGGGAGAUAAACACACCUGUACCUGAUAAUUGCUGACAACGUUCCAUGAAGCAGAAUGGUGUGUUUGGGAACAAAGUGUACCUCAUCGAAAAUCAGGGUUAACCAGCAACAUCUCUGAGUUGAACGGAGGUUCCGACGCGCGCACGCACACACACACACUCACACACACGCGCACACACACACACACACACAACUUCCAUCUUAGUCCGAUCUCUGUGAAUUGAUGCCAUUUAAUCAGAAAGGUGCUUCGGCUCUAGGACACUUCAUUUUAAUUCUGAAUGGGCUACAACAUUAAAACCUCCCACGUCCUGUCCCUCCUUGGACACUCUCUUUCCAAUGUCAGCCAAGUCAAUUGCCACGAAUUUUAAUCCUCUCCACACCACUGCCUUGUCUUUCCUACCCAACAAAAGUCACUGUUAGUUCAGAAAAAGAAUCCCAUAUCCAGGAACAAUUAGAGAAGCAAUCAAUAGUUUUAUGAAUCAGGAA